ACGAAGGGGGCUAGCGUUGUUCGGAAUCACUGGGCGUAAAGCGCAUGCAGGCGGGGCGUUAAGUCGGGGGUGGAAUCCCGAGGCUCAACCUCGGAACUGCCUUCGAUACUGGCGACCUUGAGUCCGGGAGAGGUGAGUGGAACUGCGAGUGUAGAGGUGAAAUUCGUAGAUAUUCGCAAGAACUCCAGUGGCGAAGGCGGCUCACUGGCCCGGUACUGACGCUCAGGUGCGAAAGCGUGGGGAGCAAACAG
rnacentral:rRNA from 1 species